UUCUGGUUAGCUCAGUUGGUAGAGUGCUCUACUGGAAAUGGAGAGAUCCUUGGUUCGAUGACAGGAACAGAUG
rnacentral:tRNA from 2 species